GUGCAUAAUUACAGGAGUUCAUACUAUAAUUUUGACUUUACAUAAUAUAGAUAUCCCGUAUGUUUGUUUCGUUUCGACGUUAGUGAUUUCAAUAUGUACGUCAUGUUCUUUAGUUCAGGUGUUUUUCAUAUGCCUAGAACGAUAUCUGGCAAUGCAGUCUGUCUCCAAACGUAAAAGAGGGACGCAUAGUCUUACUUGUGUGUAUGUAAUCCCAAUUAUAGGUAUCAUUCUCUACAACAGC
rnacentral:lncRNA from 1 species